GGAAACCUGAAAUGUUCGAUACUCUUGUAGUUUUGAACCUACAAUACUUUAAACGGGAGUCUUAUAUCUCUGUAAUAUGUCAGGCCAUCGAUUUUGCAGUGGAAGGCAGAAAAGCAGAUGCGGAUACCCACCUAGCGGGUGCUAGGAGUCAGAAUACAGGAACCGGCAUUUUGGGGAAUAU
rnacentral:other from 1 species